CUCAGAAGGACAGUGUCCACAUUCAUCCUGACCACCAGCUCCAUCUACGAGAGAGAGCCCAAAGCUGCCCCCUGGGCGAUGGAGUCACACCGCUGCUGGCCUCUUGGGAGUACUCACUUGGACAGAACUGCAACGAAGCCAUGCCUGAAUUGAAGGGUGUGGGUCUCGUUGGCCAAAGACCGUCUUUCAUUGGAACUAGGAAUAAGAGUGUUAGUUCAUAGCACACCUGCUUUGUACAUAGCAAGUGCUUCUUAAAAAGGGCUUCGCUCUGUUGCCCAGGCAGGAGUGCAGUGUUGCAGUGAGCCGAGAUCACGCCACAGCACUCCAGCCUGGGCGACAGAGCGAGACUCUGUCUCAAAAAAUAAAUAAAUAAAUAAAAGGCUUUCAGAGAUAAGCAA
ensembl:lncRNA Novel protein, antisense to ITGAE